UGCAGUCGAACGAUGAAGCGGUGCUUGCACCGUGGAUUAGUGGCGAACGGGUGAGUAACACGUGAGUAACCUGCCCUUCACUCUGGGAUAACUCCGGGAAACCGGUGCUAAUACUGGAUACGACCUCAACCUGCAUGGGUAUGGGGUGGAAAGCUUUUGUGGUGGAGGAUGGACUCGCGGCCUAUCAGCUUGUUGGUGGGGUAAUGGCCCACCAAGGCGACGACGGGUAGCCGGCCUGAGAGGGUGACCGGCCACACUGGGACUGAGACACGGCCCAGACUCCUACGGGAGGCAGCAGUGGGGAAUAUUGCACAAUGGGCGAAAGCCUGAUGCAGCGACGCCGCGUGAGGGAUGACGGCCUUCGGGUUGUAAACCUCUUUCAGCUCUGACGAAGCUUUAUUGUGACGGUAGGAGCAGAAGAAGCACCGGCUAACUACGUGCCAGCAGCCGCGGUAAUACGUAGGGUGCGAGCGUUGUCCGGAAUUAUUGGGCGUAAAGAGCUUGUAGGCGGCUUGUCGCGUCUGCUGUGAAAUCCCGGGGCUCAACCUCGGGCUUGCAGUGGGUACGGGCAGGCUAGAGUAUGGUAGGGGAGACUGGAAUUCCUGGUGUAGCGGUGGAAUGCGCAGAUAUCAGGAGGAACACCGAUGGCGAAGGCAGGUCUCUGGGCCAUCACUGACGCUGAGAAGCGAAAGCGUGGGGAGCGAACAGGAUUAGAUACCCUGGUAGUCCACGCCGUAAACGUUGGGCGCUAGGUGUGGGUCCCAUUCCACGGGGUCCGUGCCGCAGCUAACGCAUUA
rnacentral:rRNA from 1 species